rnacentral:lncRNA from 1 species
ACUGUCACCUGACCGUGCUGGCAACCUGCUUUAGGUCUUCCUCCAGAACUGUGAGCAAUAAAUAUUUGUUAUUCAUAAAGCAUCCAGUCUGGGGUAUUUUGUGAUAGCACUCCAAAAGGACUAAAACAACUUCUCAGCAAACAAAAACAUUGUACUAUAUGAACAUCUCUAUCAGGAAGAGCAGGGGAAACCGUUUGGGUUCCAAACAAUCUUCUUCUUCUUCUUUUUUUUUUUUUUUACAUUUUAUUUAUUUUUGAGAGAGAGAAAGAGAGACAGAGCACAAGUGAGGGAGGGGCAGAGAGAGAGGGGGACACAGAAUCUGAAGCAGGCUCCAGGCUCUGAGCUGUCAGCACAGAGUCCGACGCGAGGCUGGAACUCACAAACGGUGAGAUCAUGACCUGAGCUGAAGUCGGAUGCCACCCAAGCACCUCACCAACAAUCUUCUUGAUGCCAAUCGGUUCACCACUCCACCUCAGCAAGAAAGAGUAUACUGCCUUCCAGACUGGAACAAUCUCCACAAAAUCUUGUUCAUCCGUGCAGCACACUUCUGCAUGCCUGACUGGGACAGGACAAGGCUGAGAGGAGAAAGGAGGGAGGACCAUCACACUGUCUUUCCAGAGAAAGCAGAAAUAACCUAA